rnacentral:rRNA from 1 species
GACAGAGGGUGCAAACGUUGUUCGGAAUUACUGGGCGUAAAGCGCGUGUAGGCUGCUCUGCAAGUCGGAUGUGAAAGCCCUGGGCUCAACCUAGGAAGUGCACUCGAAACUGCAGAGCUGGAGUCCUGGAGAGGAAGGCGGAAUUCUCGGUGUAGAGGUGAAAUUCGUAGAUAUCGAGAGGAACACCGGUGGCGAAGGCGGCCUUCUGGACAGUGACUGACGCUGAGACGCGAAAGCGUGGAGAGCAAACAGG